GUGCUUGCUUCAGCAGCACAUAUGCCAAAGUUGGAAUGAUACAGAGAAAAUUAGCAUGCCCCUGCACAAGAAUGACAUGCAAAUUUGUAAAGCAUUCCAUAUUUAA
ensembl:snRNA U6 U6 spliceosomal RNA